rnacentral:rRNA from 1 species
GACAGAGGGUGCAAGCGUUGUUCGGAAUUACUGGGCAUAAAGCGCACGUAGGCGGUUCGCUAAGUCUGUCGUGAAAUCCCCCGGCUCAACCGGGGAAUAGCGUCGGAUACUGGCGAGCUCGAGGUCGAUAGGGGUAAGUGGAACUCCAGGUGGAGCGGUGAAAUGCGCAGAUAUCGGGAGGAACACCGGUGGCGAAGGCGGUUCUCUGGGCCUUACCUGACGCUGAGGAGCGAAAGCGUGGGGAGCGAACAGG